ACGAACGCUGGCGGCGUGCCUAAUACAUGCAAGUCGUACGCUUCUUUUCCCACCGGAGCUUGCUCCACCGGGGAAAGAAGAGUGGCGAACGGGUGAGUAACACGUGGGUAACCUGCCCAUCAGAAGGGGAUAACACUUGGAAACAGGUGCUAAUACCGUAUAACAAUCGAAACCGCAUGGUUUUGAUUUGAAAGGCGCUUUCGGGUGUCGCUGAUGGAUGGACCCGCGGUGCAUUAGCUAGUUGGUGAGGUAACGGCUCACCAAGGCCACGAUGCAUAGCCGACCUGAGAGGGUGAUCGGCCACAUUGGGACUGAGACACGGCCCAAACUCCUACGGGAGGCAGCAGUAGGGAAUCUUCGGCAAUGGACGAAAGUCUGACCGAGCAACGCCGCGUGAGUGAAGAAGGUUUUCGGAUCGUAAAACUCUGUUGUUAGAGAAGAACAAGGAUGAGAGUAACUGUUCAUCCCUUGACGGUAUCUAACCAGAAAGCCACGGCUAACUACGUGCCAGCAGCCGCGGUAAUACGUAGGUGGCAAGCGUUGUCCGGAUUUAUUGGGCGUAAAGCGAGCGCAGGCGGUUUCUUAAGUCUGAUGUGAAAGCCCCCGGCUCAACCGGGGAGGGUCAUUGGAAACUGGGAGACUUGAGUGCAGAAGAGGAGAGUGGAAUUCCAUGUGUAGCGGUGAAAUGCGUAGAUAUAUGGAGGAACACCAGUGGCGAAGGCGGCUCUCUGGUCUGUAACUGACGCUGAGGCUCGAAAGCGUGGGGAGCAAACAGGAUUAGAUACCCUGGUAGUCCACGCCGUAAACGAUGAGUGCUAAGUGUUGGAGGGUUUCCGCCCUUCAGUGCUGCAGCUAACGCAUUAAGCACUCCGCCUGGGGAGUACGACCGCAAGGUUGAAACUCAAAGGAAUUGACGGGGGCCCGCACAAGCGGUGGAGCAUGUGGUUUAAUUCGAAGCAACGCGAAGAACCUUACCAGGUCUUGACAUCCUUUGACCACUCUAGAGAUAGAGCUUCCCCUUCGGGGGCAAAGUGACAGGUGGUGCAUGGUUGUCGUCAGCUCGUGUCGUGAGAUGUUGGGUUAAGUCCCGCAACGAGCGCAACCCUUAUUGUUAGUUGCCAUCAUUUAGUUGGGCACUCUAGCAAGACUGCCGGUGACAAACCGGAGGAAGGUGGGGAUGACGUCAAAUCAUCAUGCCCCUUAUGACCUGGGCUACACACGUGCUACAAUGGGAAGUACAACGAGUCGCGAAGUCGCGAGGCUAAGCUAAUCUCUUAAAGCUUCUCUCAGUUCGGAUUGUAGGCUGCAACUCGCCUACAUGAAGCCGGAAUCGCUAGUAAUCGCGGAUCAGCACGCCGCGGUGAAUACGUUCCCGGGCCUUGUACACACCGCCCGUCACACCACGAGAGUUUGUAACACCCGAAGUCGGUGAGGUAACCUUUUGGAGCCAGCCGCCUAAGGUGGGAUAGAUGAUUGGGGUG
rnacentral:rRNA from 1 species